GUGGGGAAUUUUGGACAAUGGGCGCAAGCCUGAUCCAGCAAUGCCGCGUGCAGGAAGAAGGCCUUCGGGUUGUAAACUGCUUUUGUACGGAACGAAACGGUCCUGGCUAAUAUCCGGGGCUAAUGACGGUACCGUAAGAAUAAGCACCGGCUAACUACGUGCCAGCAGCCGCGGUAAUACGUAGGGUGCGAGCGUUAAUCGGAAUUACUGGGCGUAAAGCGCGCGUAGGUGGUUUUGUAAGUUGGAGGUGAAAUCCCCGGGCUCAACCUGGGAAUUGCGCUUGUGACGGCAAGGCUGGAGUGCGGCAGAGGGGGAUGGAAUUCCGCGUGUAGCAGUGAAAUGCGUAGAUAUGCGGAGGAACACCGAUGGCGAAGGCAAUCCCCUGGGCCUGCACUGACGCUCAUGCACGAAAGCGUGGGGAGCAAACAGGAUUAGAUACCCGGGUAGUCC
rnacentral:rRNA from 1 species